GUUGAACACUGCUCAUCAUAAACUGAGAAAAAUAUGGUAUGAAAGACACCACACAUGACACAACCAACCCAACAACCUCUCAUAACCCGAAUAACAAAACUACAUAAAACACUCUACAAACACAAAUACUCUACAACCAAAAGUAGCUCAACAUAGCAAACAAAAUGUACGAUCAAGACACAUUUUACAAACACACAAGUGACACAACAAAUUUCAUACCACAAAAUGAUGAAAGCCGAGUGUCUGUUCGUUCAAAAACACUACAAUAUAAUCAUUGUGAUCUAGAUCACUCAUAUAAGGAAACUAUUUCUCAUCACAAAACAGUAUCUCAGCCAUCAAUAUUUAAAAAAAAAUUCAAAAAAUCUUCACAGACAAAACAAACAUGCUUCGUCUCAGAU